GCUCUUUUAGCUCAGUUGGUUAGAGCAUCGUGCUUAUAUUUUCAAAUAUACUAAAGACACGCGAAGGUCGCGAGUUCGAUCCUCGCAUAGAGCA
rnacentral:tRNA from 1 species